GCGGACGGCUGAGUAACGCGUAGGUGACUUGCCCUGAAGUGGGGAAUAACGAUUCGAAAGAAUCGCUAAUACCGCAUGUGGUUGUGCGUGUAGGCGCGUGCAACUGAAGCCCGCAAGGGCGCUUUUGGAGAGGCCUGCGUCCGAUUAGCUAGUUGGUGGGGUAACGGCCUACCAAGGCGACGAUCGGUAGCUGAUCUGAGAGGAUGAUCAGCCAGACUGGGACUGAGACACGGCCCAGACUCCUACGGGAGGCAGCAGUUAGGAAUUUUGCACAAUGGGGGAAACCCUGAUGCAGCAACGCCGCGUGGAUGAUGAAGGCCUUCGGGUCGUAAAAUCCUUUUCAACGGGAAGAAACGGACGGUACCGUUGGAAUAAGCCACGGCUAACUACGUGCCAGCAGCCGCGGUAAUACGUAGGUGGCGAGCGUUAUCCGGAUUUACUGGGCGUAAAGAGCAUGUAGGCGGUUCCGUAAGUUGGGCGUGAAAGCCCCCGGCUUAACUGGGGAGGGUCGUUCAAUACUGCGGGACUUGAGGGUGGACGAGGAGACUGGAAUUCCCGGUGUAGUGGUGAAAUGCGUAGAUAUCGGGAGGAACACCUGUGGCGUAGGCGAGUCUCUGGGCCACUCCUGACGCUGAGAUGCGAAAGCGUGGGGAGCGAACGGAAUUAGAUACUCCGGUAGUCCACGCCCUAAACGAUGGACACUAGGUGUGGUGGGUAUCGACCCCUGCCGUGCCGUAGUCAACACAAUAAGUGUCCCGCCUGGGGACUACGAGCGCAAGCUUAAAACUCAAGGAAUUGA
rnacentral:rRNA from 1 species